rnacentral:tRNA from 1 species
GAGGGUGUAGUAUAGUGGAUAGUAUACGGGUUUGCGGAACCUGUGACCGGGGUUCAAUUCCCCGCACCCUCG